CGCUCAUUUCUGCAAAGAUUUGCAUUUAGAUAUUUUAGAACUAGAAUUUUCCUCAUGCUGUUGCCCAUGGCUCUGAAUAUGUUUCAG